rnacentral:lncRNA from 1 species
UUACAAUCUAAAGUAAGUUGUAAUCCUACAACUCUUAAAUACUAAUUUUUCUCUCUUAAUUUUAUCACUCUUAUAUAUAUAUAUAUAUAUAUAGAGUCCGGCUACUAUACUAUCGGUAGCACGGAGGGCUCCGUGCUACCAAGUUGUUUUUGAUGAUGCGGCUUCCAAAUCGACGAUCGGCUCCGUUAGACUUGAUCUACACUAUUGAAAGUAAUGGGAAAUUAAAUUUCAGAUUUUUUCGACAUCAUUUGACUAGUGAUCAAAAGAUCUCAAAAUUGACAAUUUUAAUGGCCGAUGUGGUGUGUUUGUGAGUUUAACGGUGUAAAACAAUCCAAAUGCGAUGAAAAUUUUAUAGAAAAUUCUUUUCACUAUUUAGAGUAAAAUCAAUAUAUCUGAUCUUGAAUUUAAGU